rnacentral:misc_RNA from 1 species
AAGGUUUCUGCCUCGUGUACACGCGCCAAGGAAUGAGUCUGUUCUUGGUCAGUUUUUCCGACCGCAAUUUUUUUUUUUUACGACAUUCCUAGUGUACCGCACCUCUGCCUAGCCCAUUCCUAUCUUUUGGUUUGCAAUUUUAUUUUUAGGUAUUUGUCUUUUACCUACUGUUUCUUUUAAUAAGUUCUUUGAAUCAUGUCUGAUGCAAAAAAU